UUCGAAAUAGAGACAAAAGAAAAAGAUAUUUAAUAAGGAAAAAUACAUUUUCUUUAUGUGCAGAAAGAUAAGUUGAUAGAAGGAAUUGUCAACCAAUGAGGAUAACGAUACUUGUUGUAAAUUUGUUGAUUGGUCAGUCAGAUGACAAGCCCGUCCUAACGUCCUGUGGUCAAGAUGGCCUGAGUGACAGCAGACAUGCGAAAAUUUCUCUGAACAGAUUAAGCUAAUUCGAAGUGAAUUACAAGUGAAUUUAGGAUACAAUUGCAGAUAUUUUAUUGAGGUGUGACAGUAACUUGAAAAGAAUCAGAGAUUUAUAAAGAAAUAACGAAGAUUUUCAACGUUCUUCUAUCGCCCUGGGCAACGAUCGCGUGAAAGAGAAUUUUCUGCAUUCGCCAUAAAUAUCGUUGAAAACUGAACUUUGAACAACUUUGAACAUAUUCCCUUGGCCGGGUUUUUUUUUUUUGUGUGUGUGUUGGUUUUUUGUUGUUCGAUUUGAACUGCUGUGCUGGAUCCUGGAUUCCUCUGCCCCUGCUUGCCUUCCCUGGAGAGCUACAGCGGCGUGCGGACUGACGAGCCACCCAUGUGAUUGACCUGCAAU